GGUUUUUAGAAAGUAUUAAAAGUCAGACCUGCUCAAUGAAAAUUAAAUAGCCGCAGUAUUAUGACUGUGCAAAGGUAGCAUAAUAAUUUGUCUUUUAAUUUAGGACUGGAAUGAACGGUUAGACCAGGUGACCUUGUCUUAGGAUUAUAUUUUGAAUUUUAUAUUUUAGUAAAAAAGCUAAAAUUUAUUUCAGGGACGAGAAGACCCUAUCAAACUUUACAAGCUAAUCUUUUUCUCUUAAAAUGGAGUAAACUUGUUUUACUGGGGCAGUAGGGAAAGUAAUAUUUCUUAUUUAUUGUGAAUCUUCUUCUUGGAAGACCAAGAAUUUCUUAAAAAAAAAUAAGUUACUGUAGGGAUAACAGCGUAAUUCUUUUUUAGAGUUCUUAUCGAUAUAAGAGUUUGCGACCUCGAUGUUGGAUUAAAAUUCCUUUCUCGCGCAGUAGGGGGAGAAGGAGGUCUGUUCGACUUUUAAAAUUUUCCA
rnacentral:rRNA from 1 species